GCUGGGCAUGGUGGCUCAUGCCUGUAAUCCCAACACUUUGGGAGGCCGAGGCGGGUGGAUCACCUGAGGUCAGGAGUUCGAGACUAGCCUGGCCAACAUGGUGAAACUCCGUCUCUA
rnacentral:SRP_RNA from 1 species